AUGGACGUAGGCUGUCGUUGACCGGCUUCCAUUCGAAAACCAAUCAACGGAUAAGCAUGUAGAAAGCAUAUUUGUUUCUUGUUUGGACACGGGUUCGACUCCCGUCAGCUCCACAA
rnacentral:tmRNA from 1 species